rnacentral:rRNA from 1 species
UGGGGAAUAUUGGACAAUGGGCGAAAGCCUGAUCCAGCCAUGCCGCGUGUGUGAAGAAGGUCUUCGGAUUGUAAAGCACUUUAAGUUGGGAGGAAGGGCAUUAACCUAAUACGUUAGUGUUUUGACGUUACCGACAGAAUAAGCACCGGCUAACUCUGUGCCAGCAGCCGCGGUAAUACAGAGGGAGCAAGCGUUCAUCGGAAUUACUGGGCGUAAAGCGCGCGUAGGUGGUUUGUUAAGUUGGAUGUGAAAUCCCCGGGCUCAACCUGGGAACUGCAUUCAAAACUGACUGACUAGAGUAUGGUAGAGGGUGGUGGAAUUUCCUGUGUAGCGGUGAAAUGCGUAGAUAUAGGAAGGAACACCAGUGGCGAAGGCGACCACCUGGACUAAUACUGACACUGAGGUGCGAAAGCGUGGGGAGCAAACA